rnacentral:rRNA from 1 species
CACGGGGGUUGCGAGCGUUGUCCGGAAUUACUAGGCGUAAAGGGCAGGCAGGCGGAUCCAUAAGUUUAUCGUUUAAGGCGUCGGCUUAACCGGCGUAGGGCGGUAGAUACUGUGGAUCUGGAAUGCGGUUGGGGAAGACAGAAUUCCUGGUGUAGCGGUGGAAUGCGCAGAGAUCAGGAGGAAUACCGAAGGCGAAGGCAGUCUUCCAAGCCGUUAUUGACGCUCAACUGCGAAGGUGUGGGUGUCAAACAGGAUUAGAUACCCCUGUAGUCCCUGAG